UACGAAGGGGGAGCUAGCGUUGCUCGGAAUCACUGGGCGUAAAGCGCACGUAGGCGGAUUGUUAAGUCAGGGGUGAAAUCCUGGAGCUCAACUCCAGAACUGCCUUUGAUACUGGCGAUCUCGAGUCCGGGAGAGGUGAGUGGAACUGCGAGUGUAGAGGUGAAAAUUCGUAGAUAUUCGCAAGAACACCAGUGGCGAAGGCGGACUCACUGGCCCGGUACUGACGCUGAGGUGCGAAAGCGUGGG
rnacentral:rRNA from 1 species